AUUGAGCGCUGGCGGCAUGCCUUACACAUGCAAGUCGGACGGCAGCAUGGAGAGCUUGCUCUCUGAUGGCGAGCGGCGAACGGGUGAGUAAUGCAUCGGAACGUACCGUGUAAUGGGGGAUAACGUAGCGAAAGUUACGCUAAUACCGCAUACGACCUGAGGGUGAAAGCAGGGGAUCGCAAGACCUCGCGUUAUACGAGCGGCCGAUGUCAGAUUAGCUAGUUGGUGAGGUAAAGGCUCACCAAGGCGACGAUCUGUAGCGGGUCUGAGAGGAUGAUCCGCCACACUGGGACUGAGAAACGGCCCAGACUCCUACGGGAGGCAGCAGUGGGGAAUUUUGGACAAUGGGGGCAACCCUGAUCCAGCCAUGCCGCGUGAGUGAAGAAGGCCUUCGGGUUGUAAAGCUCUUUCGGCCGGGAAGAAAUCGCACAGGCUAAUACUCUGUGUGGAUGACGGUACCGGCAUAAGAAGCACCGGCUAACUACGUGCCAGCCGCCGCCGUAA
rnacentral:rRNA from 1 species